UAAAGGUUAAAGGAUCAAUAAAGGUGCUGAAGGAGCAAUCCAGUGAGACUACCGAAGGACUGCUAAAUGCGUUAAGGUACACUACAAAACAUCUAAACGAUGAAAGCACACCGAAACAGAUCAAAGUGCUCCUAGCAUAGCAGCAGCCACCAUUGUCAUGGUAACCGUUGUUAGGCUAGCGUCAUGGAUCAGUACGCGAGGUUGGCCAUCGAGGAGAUGUCACACAGAUGACAGGACACCGGACACCGCGCAGACAGCACGUGACCUUCCAUGACCUCUGCGACACUCGGCGACCCCUGUGACGCUCUCCGUGGCGCCGGCGACUUUUGAUAUCGUCAGCACUUAGCUGUAGAUGACUAGAUAGCAUAUCAGUUGAUCGCUGCGUCAUUUACCAGCCAGCCUCCGCCGCCAUGCCUCCGAUUCGUGUGCUGAAUGUCACACAGUGGUGGAUAAGGGGCGGUCGCGCGGUGGGUAGGGGGCAU